UACGUAGGGUGCGAGCGUUGUCCGGAAUUAUUGGGCGUAAAGAGCUCGUAGGCGGUGUGUCACGUCGGCCGUGAAAACCUGCAGCUUAACUGUGGGCGUGCGGUCGAUACGGGCAUCACUGGAGUUCGGCAGGGGAGACUGGAAUUCCUGGUGUAGCGGUGAAAUGCGCAGAUAUCAGGAGGAACACCGGUGGCGAAGGCGGGUCUCUGGGCCGAUACUGACGCUGAGGCACGAAGGCCAGGGGAGCAAACGGG
rnacentral:rRNA from 1 species